GACCCAGUAGCGGAAGGUCUGCGCCCGUGCCCUCUUUCCAUUCAUCUAGCGUGAUGCGGGAAUCCCUGGUUCGACUCCAGGCUGGGUCA